rnacentral:rRNA from 1 species
UCCGGAGGGUGCAAUCGUUAUCCGGAAUCACUGGGUUUAAAGGGUGCGUAGGCGGCGCAAUAAGUCAGAGGUGAAAGCCUGCAGCUCAACUGUAGAAUUGCCUUUGAUACUGCUGCGCUUGAAUCAGGUUGAGGUUGGCGGAAUGUGGCAUGUAGCGGUGAAAUGCAUAGAUAUGCCAUAGAACACCAAUUGCGAAGGCAGCUGACUGGGCCUGAAUUGACGCUGAGGCACGAAAGCGUGGGGAGAAAACAGG